rnacentral:sRNA from 1 species
UUUAAGCAUCUUUAUAAGCAUCUUUAAAAGGAAAAAAAUUAGAAUGUUGUUGUCGUUCAAACUUCUAGGAGUGCAUAGAUAGUGGCCCGUAUAACAGGCAUUAACAUUCCUGAU